UGGACCGCCUGGAGGCGGUCAUUAAAAGGGGGGUAGUGUCAGGGUUCCUGUGUGUGUGUGUGUGUGUGUGAGUGAGGCAUCUGUUCCAGCGAGGAUCUUGGUGGAGAACCUGGGCAGCCUACGCAGGUGGAUCUCAUCUGCCUCAUCAGUGUUGGGGAUAAAGGAGCAGCAGAACAUUCACUCAGUGCUGGAUGAUUAACGUGCACCGGUCAGUCUCUGGAUUUUCUCUGGACCAAGUUCCUUUGUUCUCUCCUCCUGAGGAUUUCCCUCCAAGUCUGCCUGCCCGCUGUUCCCUCCACACCUCUCCACCAGUUCUCCGGCUCCAAUCAUUACCAUCCUCACUCCUCUCAGGAACCUCUGUGACCUAUCUCCACACUGGAUCUUGGCAAUUCCCCAUGCCUCAACCAUAGCCAUUCUAAAAGGACAAAGAAGAUUUGCCUGUUGACUAAAGAAAGAGAAUAAAAAUCUUACCUUACUCUGGCUUGUUGAUUUUGCAUGUGGGUCAGAAGGUUAAAGCCGAAC